rnacentral:rRNA from 1 species
AUUGAACGCUGGCGGCAGGCCUAACACAUGCAAGUCGAACGGUAACAGGAAGAAUCUUGCUUCUUUGCUGACGAGUGGCGGACGGGUGAGUAAUGUCUGGGAAACUGCCUGAUGGAGGGGGAUAACUACUGGAAACGGUAGCUAAUACCGCAUAACGUCGCAAGACCAAAGAGGGGGACCUUCGGGCCUCUUGCCAUCGGAUGUGCCCAGAUGGGAUUAGCUAGUAGGUGGGGUAACGGCUCACCUAGGCGACGAUCCCUAGCUGGUCUGAGAGGAUGACCAGCCACACUGGAACUGAGACACGGUCCAGACUCCUACGGGAGGCAGCAGUGGGGAAUAUUGCACAAUGGGCGCAAGCCUGAUGCAGCCAUGCCGCGUGUAUGAAGAAGGCCUUCGGGUUGUAAAGUACUUUCAGCGGGGAGGAAGGGAGUAAAGUUAAUACCUUGGCUCAUUGACGUUACCCGCAGAAGAAGCACCGGCUAACUCCGUG